CAUUACACUAGAGAAAGCAAUAUCUUUAGGGACUAAUUAGGUUUAAAUGUAAUAUAACAACAAAUAAACCCGACCAAAGGUGGAACUAGGGAUUGAAGAAAAUACAGUUAACACGUGCUUUGAGUUUGCAGAUUCUCUUGUUCGUGCAAGAGAGAGGGAGAGACGAGUUUGACCGUUGACCGGAAAAGAAGCGCCGGCGUGUCAGUGGUCACGCCCACCUGUUAGACGCACGUGCCUCAACGUCGACGCAAAAGAACCACAACGAUCUCUUCUCUCUUUGACCUCUGCUUUGUUUCUUUUCUUGCUCUCACUGUUUAUUCACCUUUUAACGUUAAGAACUCAAGUGGAUAAUGGACUAAGAGAAACACGAAUAUUAAUAAUUGAUGGCAAAUCAUAGUGAAAGAUUUUGAGAGAUUAUUUGAUUUGGUGUGUAGAUUGUC